rnacentral:rRNA from 1 species
GACGAACGCUGGCGGCGUGCUUAACACAUGCAAGUCGAACGGAAAGGCCCUGCUUUUGUGGGGUGCUCGAGUGGCGAACGGGGGAGUAACACGUGAGUAACCUGCCCUUGACUUUGGGAUAACUUCAGGAAACUGGGGCUAAUACCGGAUAGGAGCUCCUGCUGCAUGGUGGGGGUUGGAAAGUUUCGGCGGUUGGGGAUGGACUCGCGGCUUAUCAGCUUGUUGGUGGGGCAGUGGCUUACCAAGGCUUUGACGGGUAGCCGGCCUGUGAGGGUGACCGGCCACCUUGGGCCUGAGGUACGGCCCAGACUCCUACGGGAGGCAGCAGUGGGGAAUAUUGCACAAUGGGCGGAAGCCUGAUGCAGCAACGCCGCGUGCGGGAUGACGGCCUUCGGGUUGUAAACCGCUUUCGCCUGUGACGAAGCGUGAGUGACGGUAAUGGGUAAAGAAGCACCGGCUAACUACGUG